UACAGAGGUCCCAAGCGUUGUUCGGAUUCACUGGGCGUAAAGGGUGCGUAGGUGGUGAGGUAAGUCGGAUGUGAAAUCUCGGAGCUCAACUCCGAAACUGCAUUGGAAACUACCUCGCUCGAGGGUUGGAGGGGGGACUGGAAUACUUGGUGUAGCAGUGAAAUGCGUAGAUAUCAAGUGGAACACCAGUGGCGAAGGCGAGUCCCUGGACAACUCCUGACACUGAGGCACGAAAGCUAGGGGAGCGAACAGG
rnacentral:rRNA from 1 species